rnacentral:rRNA from 1 species
AACGAACGCUGGCGGCAUGCCUAACACAUGCAAGUCGAACGAGACCUUCGGGUCUAGUGGCGCACGGGUGCGUAACGCGUGGGAACCUGCCCUUAGGUUCGGAAUAACUCCCCGAAAGGGGUGCUAAUACCGGAUAAUGUCUUCGGACCAAAGAUUUAUCGCCUUUGGAUGGGCCCGCGUUGGAUUAGCUAGUUGGUAGGGUAAAAGCCUACCAAGGCGACGAUCCAUAGCUGGUCUGAGAGGAGGAUCAGCCACACUGGGACUGAGACACGGCCCAGACUCCUACGGGAGGAAGCAGUGGGGAAUAUUGGAGAAUGGGCGAAAGCCUGAUCCAGCAAUGCCGCGUGAGUGAUGAAGGCCUUAGGGUUGUAAAGCUCUUUUACCCGGGAUGAUAAUGACAGUACCGGGAGAAUAAGCGCCGGCUAACUCCGUG